UAGGUGGCAAGCGUUGUCCGGAUUUACUGGGUGUAAAGGGCGUGCAGCCGGGCCCUUAAGUCAGAUGUGAAAUUCCAGGGCUUAACUCUGGAACUGCAUUUGAAACUGAGAGUCUUGAGUACCGGAGAGGUUAUCGGAAUUCCUUGUGUAGCGGUGAAAUGCGUAGAUAUAAGGAAGAACACCAGUGGCGAAGGCGGAUAACUGGACGGCAACUGACGGUGAGGCGCGAAAGCGUGGGGAGCAAA
rnacentral:rRNA from 1 species